UCUCCGUAGGUGAACCAGCGGAAGGAUCAUUAAUUAUAUAAGGCCACAGGCCAAGCUUUCCGAAAUGAUCAAGCUUGCUGUGUGAACCCGACCUACCCUUGCUUUGUGCGUACCCAUUGUUUCCUCGGCAGGCUUGCCUGCCAGUAAGACACUCUUAAACCCUUUGUAAUUGCAGUCAGCGUCAGAAACAACGUAAUCGUUACAACUUUCAACAACGGAUCUCUUGGUUCUG
rnacentral:misc_RNA from 1 species